rnacentral:rRNA from 2 species
GCAUAUCAAUAAGCGGAGGAAAAGAAACCAACCGGGAUUACCUCAGUAACGGCGAGUGAAGCGGUAACAGCUCAAAUUUGAAAUCUGGCUCUUGCGGAGUCCGAGUUGUAAUUUGUAGAAGAUGCUUUGGGUUGUGGGUUCGGCCUAAGUUCCUUGGAACAGGACGUCAUAGAGGGUGAGAAUCCCGUAUGUGGCCGAGGCCCGCGCCUAUGUAAAGCUCUUUCAACGAGUCGAGUUGUUUGGGAAUGCAGCUCAAAAUGGGUGGUAAAUUUCAUCUAAAGCUAAAUAUGGGCCAGAGACCGAUAGCGCACAAGUAGAGUGAUCGAAAGAUGAAAAGCACUUUGGAAAGAGAGUUAAACAGUACGUGAAAUUGUUGAAAGGGAAGCGCUUGCAACCAGACUUGGGCGCUGCCGAUCACCUUGAGUUUUCUCGAGUGCACUCGACAGCGCACAGGCCAGCAUCGGUUCGGGUGGCUGGAUAAAGGCCGUAGGAAUGUGGCUCUCUUCGGGGAGUGUUAUAGCCUACGGUGCCAUGCAGCCCAGCCGGACCGAGGACCGCGCCUUCGGGCUAGGAUGCUGGCGUAAUGGUUGUAAGCGACCCGUCUGAAACACGGACC